CAUGCCGUAGCAGAUAGGUACGCGGUCUGUUAGGUAGGUGCACGGCUCGCUAAAUAGCUAAAAAACGCACUUUUAUUUCUUCUAAAAGAAAUAAAAGUGUACUUUUUCUCGCCUUACAUUGCCCCGAAUUUUAUUAUAAAAAAUGCACGCAUUCUUUAUAAGAUAAUUCUUUACAACCUUAAGCGCGAGAAAAGAAAUUUUGAAAAUUUUGCCAAAAAUGAAAAAAUCUCACCCUUCGGUGGUUUUAGAGGGAUGGAGGGGAUGCCCCGAAUUAUUUUUUAAAGAUAGUGCCGGAUACAAAAAGGUGUAGGAUUAACAAAAAGAAAACGUAAGGCAGCCUCUGCCAAAAAGAUGAAAUAAAAAGGAAUAAAGAAAAAUACAAAAAACAGAAAAAAUGCAAUAAUCACAAAAAGUAGAUAUAACUACGAAUUUAACUAAACAAAGAAACUAGUUAUACCUUUGAAAUUCAAAUAAUCGAAAAAAUAAAAGAACGCAAAGAAACAAGGAGCUGAAAGGUUAUCUAACCUAUAAAAAAAAAUAACUAUGAAUAUUAUUCAAGAUACACAUGGAAGCAUUGUGUACGUAAAAAUGCGAAGAGAACAUGAAAUAAUAAAAUAGUAUCUUAAUACUCUUAUGGAGUUGGAAUAAAACAAGACAAAUUACCUACGAGGUAUAAGUAUAACUGAAUAACAUAUAUAUCUUUCUCGUAAGGAUAGCAAACAAUUAUAUCAAAAAGUAUUAGUAAAUACCAAUUUAACAGCUGAGUUGGUUAUAUAUUGAGUACCAUUUCGUAAUUAACCUGAGGAAGUACGUUAAAAUCAAAAAGAGAAGUAAAAAAAAUUUUGAGAGGAAGAAAAAACAUAAAACUCUAAAAUGAGAUUGUAACAAAAAUAAAAAAUAAAAAAACCUUUGGGUUUUAUUACGAAAAGUUGGCAUCCCUGCCUGUGACUUCGAAUAUUGCUGCCACUGGUUACACUGAUUUGCUAUGUGUGAUAAGUUAUCACUUUCUGGACCGCUGGAAAUUCUUCACCCGACGCUGAUUUGGCUUUGAAUAAUCUUUCUCGUGACUUAAAGCUGGAAGUAUAUUUACGAUAGUUUCUAGAACUAUCUGGUUGAGCAUUAUGGGAACCCCGGUAAUUCCUUUGUGAUCAGGGUCUGUCUUGUCGAGUGUGGUUUCUAGGUAAUCUAGGUACUGAAUCCUGCCGGUGGUCGAUAAUCCGAUCGCUUCGGUUCGUAAAUAUUUUCUUAAGAAUCGUCUUCGCAACGGAUGAGUCGAAUUCAAGAUGGGCGGAAUAAUUAGCACUUUUCGUACUCCCUGAUUAAGGAGGAACACCAAGAAAUCCUGUAUUUUUCUUUGUAUAUUUUCGUCACCGUAGCGGCUGAUCUCAUACUCACCAAAGCAUACGAGGAUAUAGCGCGGAAUAAUGGGUAAAAACAUGUUAAUAUUAUCCUGUAGUAGAUUGACACUGAUAUAUUCCGCACAGAAUAAAUUUUUCGACAGAUUGGAACGUUUAUCAAAUUCCUCCAUCGCAUCGUGAAUGGCGCUGAACGCGAUAGAGUCACCAAAUACGGCGUACCCUUGCAGGAAGAAAAGGUUUUCUUCUUGUUUAUUUAGUAGCCUCACUCUAGUUUCAUUCAGGUAAUAGUGAAAUUUCUGCUCAAUGAUGAUAUCUUGCAUGUAGGUUGGAGCUGCUGUAUCAAAGCUCAAGCCUUUUCGUCGUACGAUGGACUGAUAGUUGCUCACGUUCACCGGUAAAUGUACCGGUUGGUUUCGAUACAUCACCAUUCGAUCGUAUUUGGUCGGCGGCUUACAUUUUGGGUCUGAUGGGUUCGGCAAUUGGAAAUUUCGACCUCUGUUCGCAAGUUUCAGUAUAUUUUGUUGUCUUUUAGUUAAAGAAUUUAGGCUGGGUGAAAUUGGACGUAAGCGAUAGGUGCGGUUUAUUCUGCCAGACUGUACUCUUGAGUUAUUGUGCUCUCGAAGUUGGAAUGAUGAUGAUACAUUUCCUGUUACAGGUUCGUUUAUCGUGACUUUACCUGAAAUAUUCGCAAUUGUCCGAGUUGUUGGAGUAACAUUUGCAAUCGGCCGUUCAUAUUGGAAAGAGUAUUCAGGGGAGUCGUAAUACCCGGGAAUCGGAGAUGACAUUAAGUUUAGCGAGUCACUAUCUACAUUCAUUGCUUCCUCGUAAUCGUGAGGUUCGUCUCUGAGCGGAGUACCGGCUUGCUGAGUGACCAGGACCUCUGCAGAUUCACGUAAGUUGGCAGCCGUUCGUUCUAACUCAUGGUUUUCAUCGCAUAAUGGCGUUGACGUAUCUUUUGGUAAAAAGGUAUCGGCGAUUUCAGAUGGAAGUAGUAUGUCCGAUUCCUCGGAUAUUAUGUCGAACUCGUUAUCAUUUGGCGAUUCGAUUAGAUUAACAAGGUCAUCGACCUUCAAUUCUUCAGUACCUUGUACUACUUCGUUGAUAUCUUUCCAGAAUUCGUCUUGCUUCGGCGAAUCCGAAUCAGGUAGCGAUGACACGGAGUUGUCAUCAAGGAUUAUAAACCGUUCGGAGGGAUUAGCUUUAGCCCUUAGGCUGCGUAGUUCGAUAUUUAAAUCAUGGAUUGUCGACCGCUGCUUGUUACAACAGGUCCCAAUACGUAAAACGAAUCGGUUUCCGUGUUGAUUAGCUGAGCGGCGGUUUGCAUAAUUUCUUGAGUGCAAGCGGGAUACGCACACGUGGUAGUGCCACGGUAUUUUACCUUGUGAAAUAAUUCACGGAAGCAGCUCGUAUGGUAACAAUGUCCGCAGUGGCUUGUGGACAAUAGUUGAACGUUGGUUCUUUCUCCAUGGGGACUUUCGCCCAUGGAUUUUCCACACUGGACGCAACAAGCUACGUGUAAUUUUAAUUUGAUCAUCUUGAGCGGAUACUAACCGGAAACCGUUGAGCAACGGGAAAUGAAAAUUUACCCUGGAAAGCGACUUGCGGUCAGUGAUGGUGCUGGAUGAUGUUGAAUAUUAACAGCAGUAGUCACCCAAGAUAUCUCUUAAGAUAUUUCACCAAUGCACUCACGAAGCGAAAUAUCUCUUAAGAUACACUAUAUCGAAGAAGCCACGACCGGAACGUAAAUACAAUCGACAAAGCGAACUAGAUGUUGAUCUAAAAGUUGAAGAAGUAUAGAGGGUCACGAAAGAACACAUACUGAAGAGUUCUUCAGCUCAAAGGCUUGGAGUUGGCAGAAUAGGUUUUGAAUAAAGAUUACCGACGACUCGAAGAGACGGCAGGGAUGCAAGUACCGGCCGCAGAACAUAUGACCGAUUUACGAUCAGCUGUUUUUGGAUAUCUACUACUAACUAUAUUAGACCUAAUUCUAAGAAUAAUUAUAUAUAACCUAAUUCUAAAAAUAUCUAUGCAAUUUUAACCUAUGUAAUGUAUAAAGAAAAAAUAAAAAUUUCAAACUGGAUUAAAACUUGAAUGAAACUUUAAAAUGAUCAACUCCUAUAGGUUCAAGCAUAGGUCUCGUAAGACCAUCUCUUUAUUCGAAGUC